CCUACGGGUGGCAGCAGUGAGGAAUAUUGGUCAAUGGGCGGAAGCCUGAACCAGCCAAGUCGCGUGAGGGAAUAAUGCCCUACGGGUCGUAAACCUCUUUUGCCGGGGAGCAAUGGCGGGGACGUGUCCCGGCCCGGAGAGUACCCGGAGAAAAAGAUUCGGCUAAUUCCGUGCCAGCAGCCGCGGUAAUACGAGGGAUCCGAGCGUUAUCCGGUUUUAUUGGGUUUAAGGGGUGCGUAGUCGGGCUUUUAAGUCAGCGGUAAAAAUUCGGGGCUCAACCCCGUCCGGCCGUUGAAACUGGGGGCCUUGAGUGGGCGAGAGGAAGGCGGAAUGCGUGGUGUAGCGGUGAAAUGCAUAGAUAUCACGCAGAACCCCGAUUGCGAAGGCAGCCUUCCGGCGCCCUACUGACGCUGAGGCACGAAAGUGCGGGUAUCGAACAGGAUUAGAUACCCUUGUAGUC
rnacentral:rRNA from 1 species